rnacentral:rRNA from 1 species
UACGUGGGGUGCAAGCGUUGUUCGGAAUUACUGGGCGUAAAGCGCACGUAGGCGGCUUUCUAAGUCGGGGGUGAAAUCCUGGAGCUCAACUCCAGAACUGCCUUCGAUACUGGAGAGCUUGAGUCCGGGAGAGGUGAGUGGAACUGCGAGUGUAGAGGUGAAAUUCAUAGAUAUUCGCAAGAACACCAGUGGCGAAGGCGGCUCACUGGACACGUAUUGACGCUGAGGUGCGAAAGCGUGGGGAGCAAACAGGG